GAACCUUUGAGAUUUUCACAAACGGAUCCUCUUGAAGUCUCGAGGAUUAGAAUCAUCAUAAAUCCAUACCCAUCCAGUACCCUGGCUCUUCCAACAGGCUACGUUCCUCUGACCCUUUUCCCACGACCUUGGCUCCUCCUCUGCCGACAGCGCCCCAGGGGCUCCUCUCAGCCUCCUACACAGAGAGAAGGACAGGACAGACGGACAGCCCAAAGCCAUCAGGGCGCCCACUCCAUCGAGGCGGCCAGCAACCUUCGGAACCCGAGAGCGCCGCACGCGCCCGCCACCUGCACGGCCACCGGGUCUCAGAUCACGCCAUCCCCACUCGGGAGCCCGACCCUCGCGCGGGCGGCUCCGAGGCUCAGCGCGGACUCCCGAGAGCCGGCCCGGAGCCGCCAGGGGGCGAGAGGGAGCAGCCAGCCCGGCGCCUCCCCGCCUCGUUCCCUUCCCCCGAGCCUCCCUCCACUCACGGAUUUUCACUCGGCGGUGGUCCAGGCGCGCGGUGGCGGCGUGCAGGGCGUCGAGGCGGCGGUGCAGCGCGGCGGUGCGGCGGCCCAGGGCAGCCGCCUGGCUCUCGAGCUCGCCGAAGAUGUCCCCGGCGCAGCNUCACAGUGUUAGAACGUGAAUAGAUAUUGGAAUAUUCAUGGAGAAAACAUGAAAUGAUGCUCAAAAACUAAUUAGAUGAAGCAAUAUUAUUAAAACAUUUUUCCCUUAAAUAAAUGCUUGAAAGCCAGGUCUGGCUCAAGAUGCCACUAUGAGAACCAUGACACUGCCUGCCUCAGUGGGCCAUCUCCACCCCUCUGCUGCUGACAGAACUCGCCUUGUGUACUGGUAUGUCCAGCCUCUGAAAUAAGUCAUGAUCUUUCUGUCCCAUCCUGUUCUGACAGUUAGUGGUCAGGUGUGACCCAACUAUAAGCCAAUAAAUUUUAAGGGGAAGUGGGAGGUUUCAAGAAAUAUUCACCUCCUUGAUGAGACGAGAAAGAAAAGAAGGCUCUCUCAUUCUCCCCUCUCUGGUCAA
rnacentral:lncRNA from 1 species